AGAGUUUGAUCAUGGCUCAGGACGAACGCUGGCGGCGUGCUUAACACAUGCAAGUGGAGCGACGAACCAGGGCUUGCCCUGGGGCAGAGCCGCGAACGGGUGAGUAACACGUGGGUAACCUACCUCGAUGACCGGGACAACCCGAGGAAACUCGGGCUAAUACCGGAUGUGCUCCGUCCUCUCAAGGGGACUGAGUAAAGAUAGCUUUGGCCUUCGCAUCGAGACGGGCCCGCGGCCCAUUAGCUUGUUGGUGAGGUAACGGCUCACCAAGGCUGCGAUGGGUAGCUGGUCUGAGAGGACGAUCAGCCACACUGGGACUGAGACACGGCCCAGACUCCUACGGGAGGCAGCAGUGGGGAAUCUUGCGCAAUGCGCGAAAGCGUGACGCAGCAACGCCGCGUGGGGGAAGAAGGCCUUCGGGUUGUAAACCCCUUUCAGUUGGGACGAAGCUUCGAGGGUUAAUAGCUCUCUGGAGUGACGGUACCUUCAGAAGAAGCCCCGGCUAACUACGUGCCAGCCGCCGCGGUAAUAC
rnacentral:rRNA from 1 species